GCCGGCUUAGCUCAGUUGGUAGAGCAGCUGUCUUGUAAACAGCAGGUCGUCCGUUCGAUUCGGACAGUCGGCACCA
rnacentral:tRNA from 1 species